CUUGGCUGCUCCCUCAUUGCAUUGCCAAACGAAGUAUGAGACCUGAAUGGGAGGAAAAAAAAGAAAUCAAGAUUUUAUUCUGUUCUGUUACUGUUUUUAUUAAACAGAAUCUACAUUAAAGAAGUGAGUAUAUAAAAGGAAAAAACAGAAAACUAAUAACGUCUAUAGUUUGCUAAUAAUAGGUAGAUGAGAUAGAAGCGGACAUACCAACUCCAGGGUGGGCAUAUACCUCGCACUUUUCUAUUUAUAGACUAUCAGUUACUUAACUUCCAACCAUAUCGCAUCUAUACUUCGCAGAUAUGAACUGCCUUCACUGCGCCGAAGUUUUCGUCUCUGUCUUUGUCCUUCUGUCCUAA